rnacentral:lncRNA from 10 species
CUGAAGAAUCCCUGAAAUGGCUAAUUUCCAGAUAUUGGGAAUCUGGAAUUCGAAGCCCAAAGAGGACACAGGACCUGCCCAAGUAUACACAGCUUGUUGUUGACAGAACCAGAACAACACACAGUUCUCUUUUCUUCCAGAAAAGUGGGGCUGGUUCCAUUUCUCACUCCUGUCUUCCUUUGGAUGGAGGAAAAUGAUAAUGAAACCUAACAUAAUGCCUAUUUCAACUUCAGAAAUUUUCCUCAAAUAAUUGAAUCAGUAGGUUUGAGGCUUCUUGGGAAUCAUUAUGUUAGACCUGAAACAGAAAUAGCCAAUCCCUUGGUUGAAACGUGUUACAUUUAAAUUGAUACUGCUUUUCCCCAAAGUGCAAUUAGAAAAGACAAAGACCUACUUCUGUAAAUGUUGUUAAGGGAAAAUGGAGCAGGUGUCUCCUUUCUUUCAUUUCUCUGGGUCAGUUGUACUCCUGAAGUCUCUCUCUGUUUAGAUGUCUAUUGUUGUUCUCGGUUGCCAGGGAUGAUUCUCCCAGUGGCUGCUGAGGAUUGCUUUAGGUGAAAAGAUAAAUUCACAGGGCCAGGGAAAGGGGCAACCUCAAAUGUGCCAGACACGUCCCAUACACUGACUCCUUCAGGCUUCACAACCACACUGGAGGCCACGCAUUAUGUUUCCUGUAUGUAUUAUUUCAUCCAUUUGUCUAAUAGAAUAUUAUUUAAUGUCCAUUAAGUUCCAGCACUGUGGAAGCAGUGAUGAGACUGAAUAAAAGAGACACUGUCCCUGUCUCUGUGGAUCUUGCUUUCUGGCAGAAGAGCUGGACAGUAAAUGAAUAAUUAAAUACAAUUUUCACUGUCAACCCCAUUUUAUAGAUGAGGAGGCUGAGGCUCAGUUGGUUAAAGUACCUGGCAGGAGCCAUUCACCAAUUAACCAGGAGAAUGUAAGGUCCACAGCUUGCCCAUGUUCCACCACACUGACCCUUAGCAUUAUGUUUCUGGAGAGAAUAAACAGAUAGGAAUCUCAAGGGGUCCCUUCCUUUCAGAACACAAAGAGGGUUGAGCCAUCACCAACAAACACAGGCAAAUGCAGAGCACCAACAGCCUGAGGUAAAAACCACCACAGGAUACUCACGGUUUCACUUUUUUUUUUUUUUAACAGAACUCCUCAGUAGCCUUUUAAUUUUAUUUUAUUUUUAAUAGACUUUACUUUUUAGAGCAGUUUUAGGUUCAUAGCAAAUUUAGGCAGAAAGUACAAAGAACCAUACAUGAUGGCUUCCUCCACCAUCAACAUUCUGGACCACAGUGGUACAUUUGUUACAACUGAUGAACCUACAUUGACACAUCAUUAUCACCCAAAGUCUAUAGUUCACACAAGGGUUUACUGUUAGGUGAGUGAACCCUAAUGUGAACUGAGUGAACCCUAAUGUGAACCCCUUAUAUCUCUUAAACUAGGGUUGCAUAUUCUAUGGUGAUACAGUUUGGCUUUAUGUCCCCACCCAAAUCUCAUCUUGAAUUGUAAUCUGCACAUGUCAAGGAAGGGAGGUGAUUGGAUCAUGGGGGUGAUUUCCUCCAUGCUGAUCUCAUGACAGUGAGUGAGUUCUCAUGAGAUCUGAUGGUUGAUAAGCAUCUGGCAUUUCCCCUGCAUGCACUUCUCUCUCCUGCCGCCAUGUGAAGAAGGUCCUUGCUUCCCCUUCUCCUUCCACCAUAGUUAUAAGUUUCCUGAGGCCUCCCCAGCCAUGUUAAACUGUGGGUCAAAUAAACCUCCUUUGUCUAUAAAUUAC